rnacentral:lncRNA from 1 species
AAAAGAUUUGAUCACAUGUGUUUAAGGUAGUUGAAAUAAAAGUGGCUUGCCUAGGAAAUAAUAAUAGCUAAUAUUUACUGAAAUUUUAAUAAGUAUAUAGGAUUAUUUCUAAACACUUUGCAAAUAGUGUCUCAUUUAAACUUAGUAAGAUCUCUAUGAAGGCUGGGCAUGGUGGCUCACACCUGUAAUCCCAGCACUUUGGGAGGCUGAGGCAGGCUGAUCACCUGCUGUCAGGAGUUCGAGACCAGUCUGGCCAACGUGAUGAAACCCUGUCUCUACUAAACAUACAAAAAUUCGCCGGGCAUGGUGGCAGGUGCCUGUAAUCCCAGCUACUCAGGAGGCUGAGGCAGGAGAAUCGCUUGAACCCAGGAGGUGGAGGCUGCAGUGACCCGAGAUCGUGCCAUUGCACUCCAGCCUGGGGGACAAGAGCAGUACUUUGUCUCAAAAAAAAAAAAAAAAAAAACUCUAUGAAGUACAUACUGAUAUUGUUAUCAUUUUGUAGAUGAGGAAACUGAGCCACACAAAGGUAAAACAACUUGCUUGAGGUCAUGCAGUUAAUCUCUGGUGAAGCUGAGAUUGAAAUUCAGGCAGUCUGACUCCACUAUGCUAUUAUCAAAACCUCUGUGCAUAGAUUGUCUAGACUGGGAAGCCGCUGUAACUUCUAAAAGAACUGCAGAGGCACAUUUAGAAGAACAGGAUGUCCUCUGUACCACAUUAGUGUAAACCUUGAAAGCAUAAUUCCCACAUAUCAAGCUUUAAGCUAGAAAAACUCCAUUUGAGAAGAAUAGUAAUUAUCAUAUACCCAUGUUAUCUUUUUUCUUUUUGAUUAAAAAAAUAGCAAACAUCGUUGUUUUGAGCCAUUAUUUAUGGUGAGUACUGCUUGCUAAGGUAAAGGCAUUUACUCUGAUUGUGAAAACAGGGUAACUAGAGACUUGCUUAAUGAAGCUCAUUAUAAAAUAUGCAAAAUCUCUUUUUUUUUUCCUCCUCUGAAAAUCAGUUCAACACACCAUCGAUCAAUUCACAUCUCCAGAGGGCACUAUAUAGUUCAAGAAGUACAUGAAAAAGUACUGCUGAGAGUAAAACAACUUUGCAAGUUGAAAUAGGCUGCCAAUUCUUGAUAACUCUAUAAUGGAGCUUCCCAACAACAGAACUAAGUUUAUGGUAAUUAAACUCCUGGCUCCAUAUGCAAAAGAAUUUCUUCCUGCAAUGUAUCAAUACUGGAUGGAUAUCCACUCUAGAUGUCACAGUGUUACAUGUUAUUUAGACCCAAUUUUGGUUCUUGGUUAGUUCACUGAAAACGGUGCUGGUAAUUCCUGUGUUCAAAGAUAAGUAGUUCUUCAUAGCAUAUUAAAAAGGUGAGAGAUGAGCGAAGAUGCCACUGUCAUUUUGAGAAAUUGAGUGUACAGUCUACCUCAUGAAAUGUAUAGCCUUCAGUAGUGUUAAUUACUACACUGAAGCAUUCGGGAAAAACAACCUGUAAGGAGGCCGUGAGCCCUGAGAGCCAGGAGAGAAAUUUAGAUGGCCUCCUCAGAGGGCAAUUCUGUACUCCUGUUACUAUGACUUAGCUUCUUGACAGCCUAUAAAAAGCAAUUCAUAAAGUAAAAAUUAAAUCAAUGAUAAGUUAAAACCCAAUAAAGGUUAAAAGUUAUAAAAUAGAAAUAGAUGAGAUUUAAAACAGAAGAUAAAAGGCUAGAGCCAAUGAGCUAAAAGGUUACCAUUUUAUUUUGAAAAGACAAAAAAGGUUAAGAUAAAAGGCUAAAGCCCAUGAGAUGCAACACUGAAAAUAAUAAUGUAAAUUUUAUCAAGGGUCAAGCAAAGAAACCCUAAGGAAUGAAAGCUAGGCACUCAGAACAGAAAACAAUAAGGAAAAAAUACAGACUUUUAAAUGAAAUGGCAGAAAGCCCAGAGAUUAAGGAGACAACGGAGAAACAGGAAAGGAAGGAAGGAAAAAUGAGAGGGGAAGAAUACCCAAUAGAAGCAAACUAAGAACACCUGUUAGACUUCAGAAGACAUACCUGUCCAUCAUUACCCAGAUCCUUGAAUCCCACCCAGGACCCAGACAGAGUAGGGGCUCCCUACUUCAUGCAACUUCAUACAACUAGGAACAUGUAGGACCACCCAGUCCCCUUCCAACACAGCCACAGAAACUUCCCAAGUCACCAAUGACCCCAAUCCAUCAGCCAACUUUACUGCCUGUGGGCUAGCCUGGUACUGGCUGAGGGCUAGCCUGGUUCUCAGAGUCAGAAAGACCUAAGUUCAUGUCCCAGAUUUACUCCUUCUUCACUGUGUGACUUUGGGUAUGUUUUUCACCUUCUCUAAUUCCCAAUAUCAUUUUCUGAGUUGUAACAAUGAUGAAAGUUCUAAUAAUGACAGAGACACUAAUAAUAGCAACUCAUCUCUGUCUCAUUGGUAGUAUUUUUAGUACUUUACUUCUAGAGAUGGUCUCUUCCAAACACUAAGCAAAUUCCAGACAAGUCUCAAUCUUCACAUCCACCUAUGGGACCAUUUCUUGUCCCAGUGUUAAUCUCAUCACCCAAGACUACAGCAUUGCCAGCCAGAAACUCAUAGAGAAUGUUUGUCACCAAUGGCCUCUAUGUAGGUUGCUUCUUCCUGUGAAUCUCAAACUCUAGUCCUCUACAGAAAGAGGGUAAGCAGUUGUG